UCCGCGGUAGCUCAGAGGUAGAGUCCCAAUCGUUAAAUGGUACAUACGGGUUCGAUUCCCGUUCGCGGAG
rnacentral:tRNA from 1 species